GCAAACUUGGUCAUUUAGAGGAAGUAAAAGUCGUAACAAGGUUUCCGUAGGUGAACCUGCGGAAGGAUCAUUACAGUAUUCUUUUGCCAGCGCUUAAUUGCGCGGCGAAAAACCUUACACACAAUGUUUUUUGUUUUAAACCAUUGCUUUGGCUUGGCCUAGAAAUAGGUUGGGUCAGAGGUUUACAACUAAACUUCAAUUUUUAUUGAAUUGUUUUUAAAUUAUUUGUCAAUUUGUUGAUUAAAUUCAAAAAUCUUCAAAACUUUCAACAACGGAUCUCUUGGUUCUCGCAUCGAUGAAGAACGCAGC
rnacentral:misc_RNA from 1 species